GGAGGCCUCUCUGCCCUUUGCCUUUUCGAUCACAUCGUGUUAAUACUCAGGGGAGCCUGAUUCCCUUAAAUUGCUGCUGGAUCGAUAACUUCCAAAUAAAGAAGCCCCAAGGAAGAACAAAACUCCUCCCAGAGCUGAGUUCCACAUGAACCUGGGGGCUAACAGGCCUCCGAAGGCUCAGACCUGAGACAGUGGAAGGUUCCUGGUCUAUCUCUGGUGAAUUCAGUGCAAUUCUCCAACAGACUGAGAUCAUCUCUGCCAGGCACCAGCAGCUCAGAUUUCUACUCAAAACACAUAUGCUUGUUUCUGGGGAAAGGCAAGCAUGAAAUACACUUCAUUGAGAAGUUGAAAAGCAUGGAGGGUGAGUUAAUUUUCAAAGAAGAAAGUCAGCAGCACGGCAGAAAGGAAUGCGUGAUUCACCUCUGCAGAGCAGACAUUGAUUUUCCCGCCUGGGAGAAUCACAAAUUAGUUGGCAGUUGAGAAUAUGAUCUCCGAUGUUGUUUUCCAUUCCCCUUAGAUCUUACAUUGUAUUUUAGGACCAUGAAACAACGCGAGAUUAAAAGUCUCAUUCGGAAACAGAAGUGGAAAAGAGGAUUCAGUAUUUCUCUUUCCUCGGAGAAAACACUUUCAAAGGUGAUACCUACUGUGCGCCAAACGGCAUGCGAGGUGCAGCUGUGAAGACAGACACAGUCCCUCCUCAUAAAACCUAAAGUCCAGUGGCACCGCGUCACUGUCUGUGGUGACUCCGGAAUGCAGAAGCGAAGCUGACCAGCCGGGAUGGGCCUGACUGCUUACUCCCGACAGCAGCCCCUCGGGGCUCUCCAAGGUCCUGAUUCCCACGCCAGGCUUUCUGGGUCUGGGUUCUACUCAAUCUCGACCUCUGCAUUUCCCUCCUUCCAGACCGUUGUCAUCGUACUGACUUCCAUUUCGAAAACCCCAGAGCAACGAGCCAGCCUUUCUAAUCCCUUCUUUUCCAAUAUGAAUGGACAGUGGUUGCUCACUGCAGGGGGGCGGUGGGGAUGGGUGAAAAGACGGGGGAUAACAGGUGAGGGGCUGUUCUUGUAGGGGGAGAUAAUGAAAAUGCUCUAAAACUGAUUGUGGUGAUACAUGAACGACUCUGUGAAUAUACUAAAAGCCACUGAAUUGUAAACUUUAAAUGGGUAAAUUCUGUGGUAUGUGAAUGUAUACCACAAUAAAAUUGUUAAAAAAUA